rnacentral:rRNA from 1 species
AGGGAUCAUUACUGAGUUUACGCUCUAUAACCCUUUGUGAACAUACCUAUAACUGUUGCUUCGGCGGGUAGGGUCUCCGUGACCCUCCCGGCCUCCCGCCCCCGGGCGGGUCGGCGCCCGCCGGAGGAUAACCAAACUCUGAUUUAACGACGUUUCUUCUGAGUGGUACAAGCAAAUAAUCAAAACUUUUAACAACGGAUCUCUUGGUUCUGGCAUCGAUGAAGAACGCAGCGAAAUGCGAUAAGUAAUGUGAAUUGCAGAAUUCAGUGAAUCAUCGAAUCUUUGAACGCACAUUGCGCCCGCCAGCAUUCUGGCGGGCAUGCCUGUUCGAGCGUCAUUUCAACCCUCAAGCUCUGCUUGGUGUUGGGGCCCUACAGCUGAUGUAGGCCCUCAAAGGUAGUGGCGGACCCUCUCGGAGCCUCCUUUGCGUAGUAACUUUACGUCUCGCACUGGGAUCCGGAGGGACUCUUGCCGUAAAACCCCCCAAUUUUCCAAAGGUUGACCUCGGAUCAGGUAGGAAUACCCGCUGAACUUAAGCAUA